AUGGCCUCCGACCGCCUCGCCGCCAUCAAGGCCUUCGACGAGACCAAUGCCGGCGUGAAGGGCCUCGUGGAUGCCGGCGUCACGGCCGUACCGGCCUUCUUCCGCCACCCUCCGGACCCGCUCUCCCAGUCGGCCUGCCCCGACGCCGCCGCCAUCCCGGUCGUCGACCUCUCGGGCAGCCGGUCGGAGGUGGUCGGCGCGGUGAGGGCGGCCGCUCAGGCCGCGGGCUUCUUCCAGCUGGUGAACCACGGCGUGCCGGAGGCGGCCAUGUGGCGGAUGCUGGCGGCGGGGCGGCGGUUCAACGAGGAGCCCCCGGAGGCCAAGGCGCCCUACUACACGCGGGACGCCGCGCGGCGCGUGCGCUACAACUGCAACGCCGACCUCUUCCGGACGCUGCUGGGCAAAUGGCGGGACACCAUCUACAUGGAGGACAUGGACAAGGAGAAGGACGACGAGGAGCUCCUCCCGCCGGCGCUCAGGGGCGCCGCGCCGGAUACACGGCGCAGAUUCGGGCGCUGGGGCGCGAGUUCUUUGGGCUGCUCUCUGAGGCCCUGGGGGUGCGGCGCGGGUACCUGCCUACCUGGAGGAGGAGGCCGGCUGCCUGGAGGCACUCAGCGUGACGGCGUCGGCGGCCUCCAGGUGCUCGUGGACGGCGACGGCGGCGAGCCCGCUGCGUGGUCCGACGCGCCGGCGAUGCCAGGGGCGCUGCUGGUGAACGUCGGCGACUUCCUGCAGCUGGUGUCCAACGACAGGGCGAACGCCGCGAGGGCGUGCGCCCCGGCGGUCGCCGACGCGGUUGGCCCGCCGUGCUACAAGAGCGUCACGGCGGAGGAGCUGCUCCGCUCGUCCAUUGCGCAGACGCUCGGCGAUUUGAGGCUCUAG
rnacentral:rRNA from 1 species